ACGGAACCUCUGCAGGUGGCCGCAUACACGCUGCCCCACUUAGGGCACGGCCCGCGCUUCGCUGCUCUCUGCGAUCGGAGACGGCCACCUGGUCAUUCACGCUGCACUCCGCCCCACUCAGCCCUCUGCAGCCCCGUCUCUCCCUGCCUGCCCACCCUGUCCCACCGGGAGGUCCGCCCAGGGAGAAGCAAACCUCGCUGCUUCGUUCCCAGGCACACGCCCAGCAGCCAGACCAGCACGGGUGCUCAGCAGACGGCCAGGGUGGACUAGCGAGUGGACGGACAGCUGGCAGGCUAACUUGCUGCUGGCCCGCGAGAGGUGGAGAAUACAUGUCUGCUGCACGAGGGCAUCUUGUCCAGUACAGAAGGCCCCUGCAGCGUUCCAGAGACCAGCCGGUGACGUCAGCACAUGCCUGCCACCUCGCCCGGAGGUCCCGCAGCUGCAGCAUGGCAGUGUCCCGGGAGGGCACCCUCUCACAUGGAAGAGUGAUGCUCUUCCUCGUCACGCCCCACACAGGGACAGGGCAGAACUUUUCAGACAUGUACAGAAAAGGGAAUAACACUAGGAACAACCUUCUCCUGCUCAAAUAAUUGACAAUGGAUGGCCGAUCUUGACUGGGACGAUCAUAAUCUUCCAUUUCAACUCCUUGCUCCUGGUGGAUUGUUUUAAGCAAAUCUCAUCUAUCAUACCCAAGGUAAGAAGAAAAAGUGGCCCCUCCAAAAUGCAGUCACAUACUAAUCCCCAGAACCUGCAGACAUCA